rnacentral:rRNA from 1 species
AGUGAACGCUGGCGGUAGGCCUAACACAUGCAAGUCGAACGGCAGCACAGUAAGAGCUUGCUCUUACGGGUGGCGAGUGUCGGACGGGUGAGGAUUACAUCGGAAUCUACUUUUUCGUGGGGGAUAACGUAGGGACACUUACGCUAAUACCUCAUACGACCUACUGGUGAAAGCAGGGUAUCUUCGGACCUUGCGCGAUUGAAUGAGCCGAUGUCGGAUUAGCUAGUUGGCGGGGUAAAGGCCCACCAAGGCGACGAUCCGUAGCUGGUCUGAGAGGAUGAUCAGCCACACUGGAACUGAGACACGGUCCAGACUCAUACGGGAGGCAGCAGUGGGGAAUAUUGGACAAUGGGAGCAAGCCUGAUCCAGACAUACCGAGUGGGUGAAGAAGGCGUUCGGGUUGUAAAGCCCUUUUGUUGGGAAAGAAAAGCAGCAGGUUAAUACCCCGCUGUUCUGACGGUACCCAAAGAAUAAGCACCGGCUAACUUCGUG